AAUAUCCUACUAUUAUAUAAAGAGACAACGUUUGUUAGUUUAUCCGCAAACAUUUUAAAAACUACUAGUUCGAAUUGAAGUCAUUUUUGUGUUGGAUAGUCCAUUUAUCGAGGAAGGCUAUAGGCUAUUGACAUUCAUCCCUUAUUGAAAAUCAUCCCCCGAAAUUCGGUUUUUAGGUAUUAUUAUUAGGUAUUAUUAUUAGGUAUUAUUUUAGGUAUUAUUUAUUUAUUUAUUUGGAUUACCUUAGUAACAUGAAUGAAAUGAAAACAAAUUUAAAAGGUUGGUCAACACCUUAUAGUAUCUAUAGUAUCAAUAGUAAUUAGCGUGUUGUCGUUAGCGUGCCCAGAAAUUUUCAAUGGGAGGGAAUGUAACAAAUAAAAAUCGUGAAUAAAGCGUGAAAUCGUCUUCUCUACCCAACUCGACUAUGGA